rnacentral:rRNA from 1 species
GACGAACGCUGGCGGCGUGCCUAAUACAUGCAAGUAGAACGCUGAAGGAGGAGCUUGCUUCUCUGGAUGAGUUGCGAACGGGUGAGUAACGCGUAGGUAACCUGCCUGGUAGCGGGGGAUAACUAUUGGAAACGAUAGCUAAUACCGCAUAAUAGUAGAUGUUGCAUGACAUUUGCUUAAAAGGUGCAAUUGCAUCACUACCAGAUGGUCCUGCGUUGUAUUAGCUAGUUGGUGGGGUAACGGCUCAACAAGGCGACGAUACAUAGCCGACCUGAGAGGGUGAUCGGCCACACUGGGACUGAGACACGGCCCAGACUCCUACGGGAGGCAGCAGUAGGGAAUCUUCGGCAAUAGACGGAAGGCUGAACGAGCAACGCCGCGUGAGGGAAGAAGGUUUUCGGAUCGUAAAGCUCUGUUGUAAGGGAAGAACGAGUGUGGGAGUGGAAAGUUCACACUGUGACGGUAUCUUACCAGAAAGGGACGGCUAACUACGUG